GCCUUUGUGGUGUAACGAUAGCACACUUGGCGCAUACUCCAGAGGUCCAGGUUCGAGUCCCGGCGAAGGCC
rfam:Stegodyphus mimosarum contig112849, whole genome shotgun sequence.